rnacentral:rRNA from 6 species
UCGAAAUCGAACGAAAGAACGACCCGCGAACCGUCUUUGC